ACGGGAGGCAGCAGUAGGGAAUCUUCCACAAUGGACGCAAGUCUGAUGGAGCAACGCCGCGUGAAUGAAGAAGGCCUUCGGGUCGUAAAAUUCUGUUGUUAGAGAAGAACAUGCAGGAGAGUAACUGUUCUUGUAUUGACGGUAUCUAACCAGAAAGCCACGGCUAACUACGUGCCAGCAGCCGCGGUAAUACGUAGGUGGCAAGCGUUGUCCGGAUUUAUUGGGCGUAAAGGGAACGCAGGCGGUUUUUUAAGUCUGAUGUGAAAGCCUUCGGCUCAACCGAAGAAUUGCAUUGGAAACUGGAAGACUUGAGUGCAGAAGAGGAGAGUGGAACUCCAUGUGUAGCGGUGGAAUGCGUAGAUAUAUGGAAGAACACCAGUGGCGAAAGCGGCUCUCUGGUCUGUAACUGACGCUGAGGUUCGAAAGCGUGGGUAGCAAACAGGAUUAGAUACCCUGGUA
rnacentral:rRNA from 1 species